rnacentral:rRNA from 1 species
AGCAGCCGCGGUAAUUCCAGCUCCAAUAGCGUAUAUUAAAGUUGUUGCAGUUAAAAAGCUCGUAGUUGAAUUUCGGGAUCAAUAUGUUGGUCGUGCCUCGGUACGUACUAGCUUAUUGGUUUCUCCUUUCUGAAGAACCAUGAUGUCAUUUAUUUGGUGUCGUGGGGAAUCAGGACUGUUACUUUGAAAAAUUAGAGUGUUUAAAGCAGGCUCACGCUUGAAUACAUUAGCAUGGAGUAAUGAAAUAGGACGUUUGAUUCUAUUUUGUUGGUUUUUAGGAUCGACGUAAUGAUUAAUAGGGAUAGUUGGGGGCAUUAGUAUUCAAUUGUCAGAGGUGAAAUUCUUGGAUUUAUUGAAGACUAACUACUGCGAAAGCAUUUGCCAAGGAUGUUUUCAUUAAUCAAGAACGAAAGUUAGGGGAUCGAAGACGAUCAGAUACCGUCGUAGUCUUAACCAUAAACUAUGCCGACUAGGGAUCGGAUGAUGUUAAUUUUUA